rnacentral:rRNA from 1 species
AUUUAGUGGGGAAUAACUGUUGGAAACGACAGCUAAUACCGCAUAAUAUUGCUGGAUAAUUUCCAGUAAUGAAAGGAGCUUUCAAGCUCCGCUGAUUGAUGAGGAUGCGGCGCAUUAGCUAGUUGGUAGGGUAAUGGCCUACCAAGGCAAUGAUGCGUAGCCGAUCUGAGAGGAUGAACGGCCACAUUGGGACUGAGACACGGCCCAAACUUCUACGGAAGGCAGCAGUAGGGAAUUUUUCACAAUGGGCGAAAGCCUGAUGGAGCAAUGCCGCGUGACUGAUGAAGGUCUUCGGAUUGUAAAGGUCUGUUGUAAGGGAAGAAAUGGUAAAACAGGAAAUGGUUUUAUCUAUGACGGUACCUUACCAGAAAGCCACGGCUAACUAUGUGCCAGCAGCCGCGGUAAUACAUAGGUGGNAAGCGUUAUCCGGAUUUAUUGGGCGUAAAGGGUGCGUANACGGUUUUGCAAGUCUGAGGUUAAAUUUAGGAGCUCAACUCCUAAUCGCCUUGGAAACUACAAGACUAGAGUAUAGGAGAGG